CCUACGGGAGGCAGCAGUGAGGAAUAUUGGACAAUGGGCGCGAGCCUGAACCAGCCAAGUAGCGUGAAGGAUGAAGGCCCUACGGGUGGUAAACUUCUUUUAUAAAGGAAUAAAGUGAGGCACGUGUGCCAUUAUGUCUGUACUUUAUGAAUAAGGAACGGCUAACUCCGUGCCAGCAGCCGCGGUAAUACGGAGGAUCCGAGCGUUAUCCGGAUUUAUUGGGUUUAAAGGGAGCGUAGAUGGGUUGUUAAGUCAGUUGUGAAAGUUUGCGGCUCAACCGGAAAAUUGCAAUUGAUACUGGCAGCCUUGAGUACAGUUGAGGUAGGCGGAAUUCGUGGUGUAGCGGUGAAAUGCUUAGAUAUCACGAAGAACUCCGAUUGCGAAGGCAGCUUACUAAACUGCCACUGACAUUGAUGCUCGAAAGUGUGGGUAUCAAACAGGAUUAGAUACCCCUGUAGUC
rnacentral:rRNA from 1 species